rnacentral:pre_miRNA from 1 species
CUUAUACUCCCUCCGUUCGGAAUUACUUGUCUCGGAAAUGGAUGUAUCUAGAACUAAAAUACGUCUAGAUACAUCCAUUUCUGCGACAAGUAAUUCCGAACGGAGGGAGUAUUUC